UGUCCAUCAGUGGAUCUGCUGUAAUAGAGUCUGGAGAUUCAGUGACUCUGAGCUGCAGCAGCGACUCAAACCCUCCUGCUGUGAACUUCACCUGGUUUAAAGACAAUCAAAGCUCAGCUGUUGGAUCUGGACAGAGUUUCAACAUCUCCAGCUUUAACUCCCGUCACAGUGGCCGAUACUACUGUGAGGCUGAGAAUAAAUAUGGCUCUCAGAGAUCAGAGUCUGUUUCAGUCACUGAAGGGGUUCAGAGAUCUGCUCUGCUCACACUUACUGGGGUUGUGGCGGGAUGUGGAGGAUUGAUCUUCAUCAUCAUCAUCAUUAUUGUGUUCAUAUGGAAGAAGAAGAGGAGAGAUGGUGGAGCUGAAGAUACC